UACGGAGGGUGCGAGCGUUGUCCGGAAUCAUUGGGCGUAAAGGGCGCGUAGGUGGCGCAGCAAGCGUGCGGUGAAAGCUCGGGGCUCAACCCCGAGUCGGCCGUGCGAACUGCUGGGCUGGAGCACUGUAGAGGCAGGCGGAAUUCCGGGUGUAGCGGUGGAAUGCGUAGAGAUCCGGAAGAACACCGGUGGCGAAGGCGGCCUGCUGGGCAGUUGCUGACACUGAGGCGCGACAGCGUGGGGAGCAAACAGG
rnacentral:rRNA from 1 species